GGAUGUGAGGGCGAUCUGGCUGAGACAUCUGUCACCCCAUUGAUCGCCAGGGUUGAUUCAGCUGAUCUGGCUGGCUAGGAGGGUGUCCCCUUCCUCCCUCACCACUCCAUGUGUGUCCCUCCCGAAGCUGCGUCCUUGGUCGAAGAGGAUGGCCUUCCCCCAAUAGAGAUGGACAGGUCUUCGAUCAAGGGUAUAUGGGUAGCUGCACUCCCCUGCUAGAACCUCCAAACAAGCUCUCAAGGCCAAGAGAUCAAAUCCCAUCUGUCAUUUACUAGCUAAGUGACAUCCCACAAAUGACUUACUUCUAUAA
rnacentral:snRNA from 1 species